rnacentral:lncRNA from 1 species
UAAGCAAUCCAGUGUGUUUACUUUCAGUUCAAGUUUGUUUUGUUUACAUUGAGUACCAUUGCUGCUAACUUCCAAUGAGGUGACACAAAGCAACAGGUUACAAAAAUGCCAUCAACAUCCAUUCUGACAGCAUCCAUGUCACAAUACACAAUGAUGUACCGGAAUUAUACAAAGACAAAAAAAAAAAUAUAUAUAUAUAGAGAGCUAAUUAUUCUGACUAGAACUGAAACUGACAGCAAAAAAGAAAAGAGCCCCCCACCCUGACCCUGAAGCCCCUGCAGGAAUCCAUACUGAUGCUUUGGCAGCCUUGUAGCAAUAAAGCAAUAACCAGCCCUUCACAUGCCAAACCCUUGUUUUUGUAACAUAGUGAAUUCCUGGCUUGGAGAAAUAGUUACAUCUGUUAAAGCACUUUUUAUUUUUCUUCCCACCCACCACCUCAAUCAGCUUCACAUCUUUUACACAGGGUUAGUACUUACUAAAAAUAAUAAACAAAUGAAGGGUAUAGGCACCGUAGACUGUUUGAAGAGUUAAAUCCUAUAGAGUAAUGGAGUUUAAGAUAUCCCAGCUUGAAACUCAGCUGCCCUUCAAUUAUAUUCAGUAAAACAAGAGCCUGAUCAGUGGCAUUACUGAAAAGGUUGGCAAAAAGAGUGGUCCCUCUGCUUAGUACUAGCACAAUCAAGAACUGAAACCAUCCCAGCUCAGAAACCAUUGGCUGCCUGCAUCAGCUUCAGGCUUCGUGGUUUGGAUUUCUGCUCAUCAGUCCAUUCCUUGGGUCUUGUGCUCCCUCCAAGGCCCAUGUACAUCAGUGCUGUAGGAAACAGUCAAAUCUAUGUACCCAGCAACUCCCCCUACCCUCCCAGCCCCUUUUCUCUUCACAAUCUCCAGAUUUCUUCAUGUAUGUUCAUGCCUCACUAUUCACUAAUGAGGUAUUAUUAGAUACUAACAAUGCCUGCUCUCCUAUGGACAUUAGCACAGACCAGUGACACAUGAAGAAAGCUCUUCAGUCAACCAUUAAAAAAAUAUUGCACUUACUUUAACCUUAAGCCCAACCUGCACAGAAAAAAAAACUAAGUACCAAACAAAAACCCAACAUCUGGAGCAAUCUAUUUUAUGCACAUAAAGUGUCUUUUCUUUCAUGUUGUUUAGUUGAAUUUGGUCCAGUAUUUUAAAAAAAUGUCCAGAAAUGAAACAGUUUGAAAGACACCGCAGGCUCGUUAAGGCUUUGUCUCCCCAGUGCUUCAGAAAGGUAAAAGUUUCUUUCUUUGUCCGUGUACUGCAAAGCAGUGAUCUCUUGUGGCAGAAUAACUGGCUGUUCAAACCAUCAUCAGAAAAAUAAUCAGAAGCAAGGGAAGAUGGGUGCUUGUUUGACUUACCACCUGUGACUCUGAACUAGGACUUGCUGACGUUCUCAUAUAUAACAUCACUGAUGCAGAACUG